CAUACUAGCUCAGUGGUAGAGCACUUUCCUAAAGAGAAAGCGGUCACAGGUUCAAAUCCUGUUAUGA
rfam:Cyanothece sp. PCC 7425, complete genome.